rnacentral:rRNA from 1 species
UACGUAGGGUGCAAGCGUUGUCCGGAAUUAUUGGGCGUAAAGGGCUCGUAGGCGGUCCGUCACGUCGGGUGUGAAAUCCUGGGGCUUAACCCCAGAACUGCUUCCGAUACGGGCAGACUAGAGGUAGGUAGGGGAGAAUGGAAUUCCUGGUGUAGCGGUGGAAUGCGCAGAUAUCAGGAGGAACACCAGUGGCGAAGGCGGUUCUCUGGGCCUUGCCUAACGCUGAGGAGCGAAAGCGUGGGGAGCAAACAGG